GGAUGGAUGUCUAAGCCGUUAAAAAGAGUUGGUUUUGAAUAUCGAAGUAUUGAUAGGAAUAUCGGGGGGUUCGAAUCCUUCUCCAUUCG